rnacentral:miRNA from 12 species
AAGCCGCGGCCUGGACCGGGACCCACAGCGGCGGCUCCACCUGGGGCAGGGCUCUGACCCGCACUCGGCCUGCGGUAAGCAGCGCCCCACUGCGCGAUGGGGGCUGAGGGC